rnacentral:lncRNA from 1 species
AAAUGAGGAUAUAAGCACAGCCAGGAAAACACCAUAGAAAAAAAUUAGAAAUGAGUGUUAGCAAAUGCUAAAAUUCUUUAACUAAAACUAAGUAGCCCUGGCCCUUGAUAAAAACAUAGGCAGGUAGGAUUGAGUGGAAAUUCUAGAAAUAAAUCUAAGUUAAUAUGGAACUUUAGGGUAUUAUUCAUAUCUUUAGGAACUUUAGGGUAUUAUUCAUAUUUAGGGCAUGUUCAUGUUUUUGUAUCUAUUUCUAAGUCUCCUGCCAAAACCAAAAAUCUGUCAUUUCUGGAAUCCUCUCCCACAACAUUGUCCUGGCAGGUGCCUCUUGAUUUCAUUCUAUGCUUCCAGAUAUCAAUUUUAUUCUAUACCAACACUCUCUGAUCCAACUUUAUGUACUGAUGGAAAUGAUCUUAAUCUGUCCUCUCCAAGGGGCAGCCAUUAGCCAUUAGCCACAUAUGGCUAUUGGACCUUUCAAACAGGGUUAGUUUGACUUAGGAACUUAUUUUACAGUUCUAUUUAAUUUUAAUUCAUUUGUGUGCAAAUAGCCACAUGAGGCUAGUGGGGAUCUGUUGAGAUAAUUCUUCUAUAUGCACUGGCUUCCCCCGAACAGGUCCAAGUCUGUUUACACCAGUAUCUGUGGUGUUGCAUGAGGGAUGACUGGUUUUAUCUUUCCAGGCCUUAUUAAUUCUAUUACAGAUGUUUGGGAGGAGGAGGGCUGGUUACACCCCGAGGUUAACCUCCAAAUAGAUGACCGAAGGCUCCAGUCCUUUCCCUGGAUGCUUAAAAUGGCUUGGCGCUGGUCAGACAAGAUUGCAAAAAUUCACUCUGAACCUCAGAGUGUUGUUCUUGUACAACAUUCUUGCAUUGACCUCCGUGGCCUGAUGAAAGCUGCUCACCUUCUCGGAGGUUAACCCCUUGAUCUGCAUGAAGAGGAAGCACUGCAUUGUGUAAGUGGGGUUGGGGUUGCGGGUGGUGGUGCUACGGUCUAACACGAGUAAACAUCAACAGAGGUCAAUUUCCUCCUAGUGUCUUCUCCCACAGGGCUCCACCGUAAAGAACACAAUUGCUGCAGGAGAUUCUAGAAAUCACCAUCGAAUUAGGAAAUGGAGCAUGAGAUAUGCAAAGACAAAAAUGAUACCAGCAACAGACUAAAAAAGCAGAUGACAAAAGCCUGCGCACACCUGCCCCAUGCUCGGGCACCACCUUGGAAACUAGUACUUGUUGCCGAAACUCAGAGAUGCAGCCAUCAGUACUGUGCUGAGUUCCCCCUUCUCACAAUGUGGUUCCAGUAUUUGCUUUUCAGUUAAUUAAAAGCAUUACCAGAGUGGUGAAGGACCUAUUCAAGCAAAUGAUUGCAACCACUUUGAAUAAAAAAUAAUGAGUUCAACAUCAUUUUAUCUAGUAGAAGGAUAAGUUCUUUGCUGUCAAGUGUUCAGAAUGGCCUACAUUAGUGUCUCUUGCAAUAUGCUGCUCUGGCCCAGCUCGAAUUUCAACUCAAAAUAUACAUGUGAGUGUUUGCAUCUCUGACUUUUCACCAGUGAAUCCCUGAUGGCAAACAGCUUUCUUCCCUCUGCUUCCCCCAUUCUGUUUGGGUGCUCUUUGAACUUCACUAUGUCCUCCCUUAGCGAUCAUAAGAGACGUCUGACUGUGACACAAAGACCUUUGAAAUCACACAUUAGAGACAAUGACACAUAAAGUCGGUUAUGAGAACUAGCGUGGUGUAGAAAUACAUUAUCAAUGCACACAUCAGAUAUUUGCUUAGAAGAAAGCUUUCUAAACUGGUGCAUUUGAAGAUUCAUUUUGUUCAUGUCUGACUGCUUAUGAUUUAUAAUAGUAAAGCUUCUUUCUAUCUCUCUCUUUUAACUGCUGCACUGAAAUUUACAUAAGUAAAUAUGUACUGUACAAAACUUUGUGUAUGGUUCAGGGCAAUUUUACCUCUGUAGAACAUUUGGGUUGAUCUACAACUUUGCCUACCAGGAAAUGGUUUUAAGUGUGAUAUUUUA